UUAAAUUGGAAAUUUUGUUAUAUUGUAAUUCACAACAUCAUUGGUCUCCCAACCGUCUCAAACCUUGUCGGCAUUCUUACAAGGGAAUAUCAUAGGACUGACUUUUAAGGUGGAUGCCUAGAUUUAUUAGGAAGAAUAUUUAGAAAAGAAACAGGAUUGAGUUUGCAGUGAUUUGGAGAAGAGAAUUAUGUUGUCUUGUUGAUAUUUGUUGUAUUAUAUAUUUUGAAGUUUAAGGAUUUAUAAUAUUAUAAUGAAUUUUUAUUGAGAAUUAUUUAGUCUCA